rnacentral:misc_RNA from 1 species
UUUCCUCCUCCCCUUUUUUCCCUCCUAUUUCACUCUCUGGUAAUCCGGAGAGUAUGCCUGUUUGAGGGUAUUUAAAACGAAUCCUUAACCAAUUUUUUUUGGUCAAAGGCAAUGAGUUCUCCGCGUUUAUAGCGGUAGCUUGAAAUAAAUGGUCAUGUCUCAUUUUAGUCGUGACGCGUAAUAAUAUUAUUUUCCGAAAACUUCAUUAUGUGCCUAUCAAGUUUUAC